rnacentral:rRNA from 1 species
GCGCGUAGGUGGCCAAUUAAGUCAAAUGUGAAAUCCCCGAGCUUAACUUGGGAAUUGCAUUCGAUACUGGUUGGCUAGAGUAUGGGAGAGGAUGGUAGAAUUCCAGGUGUAGCGGUGAAAUGCGUAGAGAUCUGGAGGAAUACCGAUGGCGAAGGCAGCCAUCUGGCCUAAUACUGACACUGAGGUGCGAAAGCAUGGGGAGCAAACAGGAUUAGAUACCCUGGUAGUCCAUGCCGUAAACGAUGUCUACUAGCCGUUGGGGCCUUUGAGGCUUUAGUGGCGCAGCUAACGCGAUAAGUAGACCGCCUGGGGAGUACGGUCGCAAGACUAAAACUCAAAUGAAUUGACGGGGGCCCGCACAAGCGGUGGAGCAUGUGGUUUAAUUCGAUGCAACGCGAAGAACCUUACCUGGUCUUGACAUAGUAAGAACUUUCCAGAGAUGGAUCGGUGCCUUCGGGAACUUACAUACAGGUGCUGCAUGGCUGUCGUCAGCUCGUGUCGUGAGAUGUUGGGUUAAGUCCCGCAACGAGCGCAACCCUUUUCCUUAUUUGCCAGCGGGUUAAGCCGGGAACUUUAAGGAUACUGCCAGUGACAAACUGGAGGAAGGCGGGGACGACGUCAAGUCAUCAUGG